GUACUGAGCACACAUAACCCAUUGGAAGGAGAAGAUCUACACGACCCCCCACACAAGAGUCAUCCCCAAUGACAAAGAACUUGUCCAAAGAGAAGGGAAAAGUCUGUUUAGCAGAAGUAACCAACAUGUCAACCAGCGUUGACAGAGGCCAUGGUCCUCGGUCAUCUUCCCCAUGUCUACCUCAGAGGGAAAGCGAUUCCUUGAUUCAUCUUCUUGGGUGGGGCCAGCAUUCCAAUUACAUCACGGUCACCUGGAGCCAAAUACAGGACUGGAUCAAUGUGGUCACUAUGGAAUAUAAUUUGUCAAGACCUGCCAGCCCCUCUUCUGUUUUCAUGAAGGAUCUCCUGGGUGCUUGUGUAGGCAUCUUGUGUUGUUGAUAUUUU